rnacentral:rRNA from 1 species
UGAGGAAUAUUGGUCAAUGGGCGGGAGCCUGAACCAGCCAAAUCGCGUGAAGGAAGACUGCCCUACGGGUUGUAAACUUCUUUUGUACAGGAAUAAAAGACAUUACGUGUAAUGUAUUGCAUGUACUGUACGAAUAAGCAUCGGCUAACUCCGUGCCAGCAGCCGCGGUAAUACGGAGGAUGCGAGCGUUAUCCGGAUUUAUUGGGUUUAAAGGGUGCGCAGGCGGGAUUUUAAGUCAGCGGUGAAAUUUUCAGGCUCAACCUGAACACUGCCGUUGAAACUGGGAUUCUUGAGUAUGGAUGAAGUAGGCGGAAUUCGUUGUGUAGCGGUGACAUGCUUAGAUAUAACGAGGAACUCCGAUUGCGUAGGCAGCUUACUAAGCCAUAACUGACGCUCAAGCACGAAAGCGUGGGGAUCAAACA